rnacentral:rRNA from 1 species
UACAGAGGUCUCAAGCGUUGUUCGGAUUCAUUGGGCGUAAAGGGUGCGUAGGCGGCGCGGUAAGUCGGGUGUGAAAUCUUGGAGCUUAACUCCGAAACUGCAUUCGAUACUGCCGUGCUUGAGGACUGGAGAGGAGACUGGAAUUUACGGUGUAGCGGUGAAAUGCGUAGAUAUCGUAAGGAACACCAGUGGCGAAGGCGCCGCUCUGGGCCGUGACUGACGCUGAGGAGCGAAAGCGUGGGUAGCAAACAGG